rnacentral:rRNA from 1 species
CCUACGGGAGGCAGCAGUAGGGAAUCUUCCACAAUGGGCGAAAGCCUGAUGGAGCAACGCCGCGUGGGUGAAGAAGGUCUUCGGAUCGUAAAACUCUGUUUGUAGAGAAGAACGUGCGUUAGAGUAACUGGUCAUGUUUCGACGGUAUCUAACCAGAAAGCCACGGCUAACUACGUGCCAGCAGCCGCGGUAAUACGUAGGUGGCAAGCGUUAUCCGGAUUUAUUGGGCGUAAAGGGAACGCAGGCGGUCUUUUAAGUCUGAUGUGAAAGCCUUCGGCUUAACCGGAGUAGUGCAUUGGAAACUGGGAGACUUGAGUGCGGGAGAGGAGAGUGGAAUUCCAUGUGUAGCGGUGAAAUGCGUAGAGAUAUGGAAGAACACCAGUGGCGAAGGCGGCUCUCUGGUCUGUAACUGACGCUGAGGUGCGAAAGCGUGGGUAGCAAACAGGAUUAGAUACCCUGGUAGUC